rnacentral:rRNA from 1 species
GACGAACGCUGGCGGCGUGCUUAACACAUGCAAGUCGAACGGUGAAGCCCUUCGGGGUGGCUCCGUAGCGAACGGGCGGGUAAGACGGUAGCACGCUGCCCCUGUCUCUGGGACACCCACUGGACACGGUGGCUCAUACCCGAUACGCCCCGCCUCUGCUUCACGGGUUGGUGGAAAGGUUUUCGGCUGUGGUUGGUCUCGCGGUCGAUGAGCUCGUUGGGGAGUUGAGGGUUCACGAAGUCGACGCGGGGUAGCCGGCCUGUGAGUGCGAGCGGCCACACGGGGACUGCGACACGGCCCAGAAGGCUACGGGAGGCAGCAGUGGGGAAUAUUGCACAAUGGGCGAAAGCCUGAUGCAGCGACGCCGCGUGAGGGAUGACGGCUUUCGGGUUGUAAACCUCUUUCAGCUCAGAAGAAGCGAAAGUGACGGUAGGAGAAGAAGAAGCACCGGCUAACUACGUG